AUGGAAUUUAGCUGUAUAAAGAGAGAUUGUUUUAAUAAGUAAAUACAUCAAGGACAAUGAAAUCCAGUUUUCAUAGGAAAUGUUGGUGAAGUGACUCUCUGGUUCAGGAAAGAAAAUUGGAAUGAGAUCUGCGAAGCAGCACUGAAAUGGAAUGUAUCACUGUGAGUUCAUGCUUUUACAGAUAGAAAAAUAGAGAAGUGUGUGUGUGUGUGUGUGUGUGUGUGUGAGUAUGUGUGUUUGUUUGAGUGUUUGAAUGCAGAAAUUUAAAUUCAUACUUGUCUGCACUAAUGGGACUGGGUAACAGUGACAUUUUAAUAGCAAGGACCAGUGGAUCAGUCUUGGUGACCAGAUCCUUGAAUAAAAAUACCAUAUUUCACUAUAGGAAGCAGGGCUAGUUAGAUAAAAGAUUGAUUCCAGGUUAAAAAUUGGGAAAGUUCAAAAUGAACCUUUAACACUUUUUUUGUGCAAAAUUCAAGAACACAUUCAAAAAAGGGAGGAAGGUGUCCCUGGUCUACCCAGGCCUACCCAACCUCCAUCUUGGGCCCCUGUAAGCAUUGCCAUAGCCCUCCCAAUGCAACAGCCUCCACCUUGGGACAAUAGGUAGGGCUUUGAGGCAGCUGCAUCGCAGAACAGGCAGCCCAAAGCCACUGCAAGGCCCACUUUUUAGCCCCAUCUCUGAGAGUAGUUGCAUCCAUUUUGACACAACUUCACAGCUAUCUUGAGUUAUCUCCACUAUUGCCACCACCACAUUUAUUUGCAGUAGCAUUUAUCAUGGGACAUUGGCUGGGUGUUAGAAGUCCAAAACCAAGGUGAGGUACAAGUAAUCUUCAGGGUCACUAUAAGAUUAUAGGGUAGAAACUGUAGUAACUCAGAUUUGCACUGCAAGAAAGGAAGACACAUAGACAACAUGAAAAAACACACCAAGAUACUACAAUAAUACAAUCCAUGGAAAGUGCAGUUGAUGAAAUGUCAGAGAAGGAAUUAAGAAUAUACAUAAUUAAAAUGACCUACAAAGUAAAGAAUGACCUAAUUGAGAAAAUACAGGCAACCACUGAUCACACCAACAAAAGAUAAGGGGGAAAAUACAGGUAGCAAAACAGUACUUCAAGAAAGAGAGAUUCUGAAAAUAAAAUCAGAAAUCAAGGAAACAAUCAACAAACAAACAAACAAACAAAAACUCAACAGAAAGCAUAAACAGCAAAUUAGAUCACUUGGAAGACAAAAUGUCAGAUAAUGAAGACAAAAUAUACAAUCUUGAAAUUAAGUU
rnacentral:lncRNA from 1 species